GAUAACGGCGUCGAGCGGCGGACGGGUGAGUAAUGCCUAGGAAAUUGCCCUGAUGUGGGGGAUAACCAUUGGAAACGAUGGCUAAUACCGCAUAAUGCCUACGGGCCAAAGAGGGGGACCUUCGGGCCUCUCGCGUCAGGAUAUGCCUAGGUGGGAUUAGCUAGUUGGUGAGGUAAUGGCUCACCAAGGCGACGAUCCCUAGCUGGUCUGAGAGGAUGAUCAGCCACACUGGAACUGAGACACGGUCCAGACUCCUACGGGAGGCAGCAGUGGGGAAUAUUGCACAAUGGGCGCAAGCCUGAUGCAGCCAUGCCGCGUGUGUGAAGAAGGCCUUCGGGUUGUAAAGCACUUUCAGUCGUGAGGAAGGUGGUGUAGUUAAUAGCUGCAUUAUUUGACGUUAGCGACAGAAGAAGCACCGGCUAACUCCGUGCCAGCAGCCGCGGUAAUACGGAGGGUGCGAGCGUUAAUCGGAAUUACUGGGCGUAAAGCGCAUGCAGGUGGUUUGUUAAGUCAGAUGUGAAAGCCCGGGGCUCAACCUCGGAAUAGCAUUUGAAACUGGCAGACUAGAGUACUGUAGAGGGGGGUAGAAUUUCAGGUGUAGCGGUGAAAUGCGUAGAGAUCUGAAGGAAUACCGGUGGCGAAGGCGGCCCCCUGGACAGAUACUGACACUCAGAUGCGAAAGCGUGGGGAGCAAACAGGAUUAGAUACCCUGGUAGUCCACGCCGUAAACGAUGUCUACUUGGAGGUUGUGGCCUUGAGCCGUGGCUUUCGGAGCUAACGCGUUAAGUAGACCGCCUGGGGAGUACGGUCGCAAGAUUAAAACUCAAAUGAAUUGACGGGGGCCCGCACAAGCGGUGGAGCAUGUGGUUUAAUUCGAUGCAACGCGAAGAACCUUACCUACUCUUGACAUCCAGAGAACUUUCCAGAGAUGGAUUGGUGCCUUCGGGAACUCUGAGACAGGUGCUGCAUGGCUGUCGUCAGCUCGUGUUGUGAAAUGUUGGGUUAAGUCCCGCAACGAGCGCAACCCUUAUCCUUGUUUGCCAGCGAGUAAUGUCGGGAACUCCAGGGAGACUGCCGGUGAUAAACCGGAGGAAGGUGGGGACGACGUCAAGUCAUCAUGGCCCUUACGAGUAGGGCUACACACGUGCUACAAUGGCGCAUACAGAGGGCAGCAAGCUAGCGAUAGUGAGCGAAUCCCAAAAAGUGCGUCGUAGUCCGGAUUGGAGUCUGCAACUCGACUCCAUGAAGUCGGAAUCGCUAGUAAUCGUGGAUCAGAAUGCCACGGUGAAUACGUUCCCGGGCCUUGUACACACCGCCCGUCACACCAUGGGAGUGGGCUGCAAAAGAAGUAGGUAGUUAA
rnacentral:rRNA from 1 species